rnacentral:rRNA from 1 species
CUACGGGAGGCAGCAGUGGGGAAUUUUGGACAAUGGGCGCAAGCCUGAUCCAGCCAUGCCGCGUGAGUGAUGAAGGCCUUAGGGUUGUAAAACUCUUUCGUCGGGGACGAUAAUGACGGUACCCGAAGAAGAAGCUCCGUCUAACUUCGUGCCAGCAGCCGCGGUGAUACGAAGGGGGCUAGCGUUGUUCGGAUUUACUGGGCGUAAAGCGCGUGUAGGCGGGCUGGUAAGUUGGGGGUGAAAUCCCGAGGCUCAACCUCGGAACUGCCUCCAAAACUGUCAGCCUGGAGCAAAGAAGAGGCGAGUGGAAUUGCGAGUGUAGAGGUGAAAUUCGUAGAUAUUCGCAGGAACACCAGUGGCGAAGGCGACUCGCUGGUCUUUUGCUGACGCUGAGACGCGAAAGCGUGGGGAGCAAACAGGAUUAGAUACCCUUGUAGUCC